UACGGAGGGUGCGAGCGUUGUCCGGAAUCAUUGGGCGUAAAGGGCGCGUAGGUGGCCCGGUCAGUUCGUGGUGAAAGCGCGGGGCUCAACCCUGCGUCGGCCAUGAAUACUGCCGCGGCUGGAGCACUGUAGAGGCAGGCGGAAUUCCGGGUGUAGCGGUGGAAUGCGUAGAGAUCCGGAAGAACACCGGUGGCGAAGGCGGCCUGCUGGGCCAGUUGCUGGACACUGAGGCGCGACAGCGUCGGGAGC
rnacentral:rRNA from 1 species